GAUGAACGCUAGCGGCAGGCUUAAUACAUGCAAGUCGAACGGUAAGUUUGGUAGCAAUAUCAAACCAAGAGUGACGUACGGGUGCGUAACACGUAUGCAACCUACCUUGUACAGGAGUAUAGCUCGGGGAAACUCGAAUUAACCCUCCAUGAGAUCACAGUGUGGCAUCACACAGUGAUUAAAACUCAGGUGGUACAAGAUGGGCAUGCGUCUGAUUAGUUAGUUGGCGGGGUAAUGGCCCACCAAGACGAUGAUCAGUAGGGGACCUGAGAGGGUGAUCCCCCACACUGGCACUGAGAUACGGGCCAGACUCCUACGGGAGGCAGCAGUAGGGAAUAUUGGUCAAUGGAUGCAAGUCU
rnacentral:rRNA from 1 species